UCAAUCACUCUCUCUCUCACACACACACACACACACACACACUCUCUCUCUCUCUCUCUUUGUUCAAUUCCAAAAUUGAGCCAUGGAAUUGACCUCGCCCGUCAAAUUACGAUGGCCGUCGUUCUGGUUUGAAGCCACACUAUCUGCCUCGCGCUCCUCCUCGGCUCGCCUCAGCUUCGUCGUCUCUAAGCCUUGAGUGUCAUCUCCAAGGCUUGGCUCCGUCGUCUUCAUACUCCUAAGUGAUUGCUGUAAUUGCAGAUUGCAAGUAUGCUUUGCCCCGGUGAUUAGACGGAGAAGAGGCGAGACACGUAUUCUCGUUGCUCCCGGAGUUCGUCGCCGAAGAUAGGUUCAUGGGUGUUUCAUCUCCUCGAGUCGGCUGUUAAGCUUGGCCUCACGAGCCCUAUCUGAGAUUCAAGUUGAAAACCUAAUUGAUCCAAUGGAGAGCAAAGGAAUUGAAUCGACGAGAUAACGAAUGAAGCCUGAUGUAUGUGGCCACGGACCGAUCUUCGAUUUCAAUUGUUCUUAAUAUUUUAUUAGUGAAUUAGUGUUCGAAAUGUGGUUGAUUUGAUUAUCGGAGUCGGGCGGAGUGAAAUGGCCACCAAUCUGAUUUUGUCUUUGAUUUUUGGUGCAUUGCAAUUACAGAGCUUUGUUUUGUAUAGACCUUGAAAUCAUUUAGAUAUUAUAUGUGCCUUAUCUUCUUCCACUGAACAUUUGUAGUUUACAUUUUAUUCAUGAUUUGCCUUUCUUUUUGUUUUA